rnacentral:rRNA from 1 species
UUGACCUCGGAUCAGGUAGGAAUACCCGCUGAACUUAAGCAUAUCAAUAAGCCGGAGGAAAAAAAAAUAAACUA